rnacentral:rRNA from 1 species
AGCAGUAGCGCGGGAAUACGUAGGUGGCAAGCGUUGUCCGGAAUUAUUGGGCGUAAAGGGCUCGCAGGCGGUUUCUUAGGUCUGAUGUGAAAGCCCCCGGCUCAACCGGGGAGGGUCAUUGGAAACUGGGAAACUUGAGUGCAGAAGAGGAGAGUGGAAUUCCACGUGUAGCGGUGAAAUGCGUAGAGAUGUGGAGGAACACCAAUGGCGAAGGCGACUCUCUGGUCUGUAACUGACGCUGAGGAGCGAAAGCGUGGGGAGCGAACAGGAUUAGAUACCCCUGUAGUCCCUGUCUCUUAUACA